GGAAAUCCAACACUAGUUACGAAAUCUGAUAAUCAAGAUUAGAAGGAAACUAACAUGAUCUAAUUCUCAAUUACAAAUCAUUCUUUGAGAAAUACACUAAUCAGAACUUCAAAGCUACAUGGUGAUUAUAAAACUGAAAGAAAAAGAGGUGAAGUUCAUAAACAACAUCACAUUUAUCUCAUUGUCAACUCAUACUUCAAGUUACACAUCAAGUGACACCCAUAAGGAUCAAAAUAUACCUGGGAAGAGAGAAGAAACAAAGAAGAAGUGAGAGUCAGUAACAGCAGUAGCAGAAUAUUAGCCUCAGAUUCACACGACCCAGUAUUGAAGUUAACCCAGAAACCAGUGAAACAUUACUUGAUUAUCAAACUUCACACCCAAAUUAAAACCAAAUUCAAUCCACCUCAAACACUCAAAUGAACCAAAGAUUGCUUCAGCAUGUUGAAAACUUUAAAAUCUAAGAAGGAGAAAUUCAUGAAACAGUAAACUGCAGCCGUUUUUUUAUAUAUAUAUAUUUUUAGAUUCUCCCCCCCCCCCCCUCCCUAGAAUGAUCAAAAGGUCUUUAUAUAGGCCAACUUUAGGGCAGCAUUGUCAGGCCUUUCUCUUUUUUGUUUUCCCUUUUUACCCCUUGUUUUUCUUACUAUUUUACCAUUUUAUCCCUUAAAAAUAUCUAAACUCUCUCUUAUCUCUUCACAUGUGAACCUGCCCUUAUCCUCUAGACGCUUCCUCCAUAACAGAAAAUAUUCUCAAUCCUCAGAUAACCAAAACACCCCUUGAUACCCUUGUAUUUACCUUCCCACAAUUCCAAAAUUUGGGCCAACGGACAAGGCUUAAGCCCAAACAGAUAUGGCUUCUACUGUCCAAACAAGUAACCCACAGAAACCAUACAACCCAAGAAAGAAAAGAAAAUCAUAUAAUGCUGAAAGUUUAAGCCUGAGUGAACUAAUUAAGAUUACUGACUUAUCGACUAACAAGGACAAGAAAUUAAGCGGAAUUAACAGAAGAAGUAAAUAAAAACUAAGCGAGACAGUGAUGAUUCUAGAGCAAAUUAACGCAAACUAAAAACUAUGGACUCGAUUCAUGAAGGAAACAAUGGUGAAAAUUUACCUUAUUUAACUCAGAAAAGGUAAUGAGAAAGCCUUGAAACGAACCGAUGGAUUAUGGCUAGAAUCCGGCGGGCCUGUCCGAAUCCGACGUUCUCGUAAUAACUAAAAACUAUCGUCAAUCGAUUUCUCUCGUUGAGAACAAUCUAUUAACGCAAGAUUUAAGUUAGAACGAGUCAAGAUUUUGAACAAAAAUCAAAGAAGGCAAAGGAAAUUAGGUAUUGCAUUUUUCGUUUCCAGAUCCGAAACUGGGUAAACUUGUCUGGGUUUUAGGGAAAGAUGCUGAUGGAUUUGGAUGUAGGAAGGGGUGAUGAUUUCAUGGUGGUAAUUUGGGGGUGAUUGGGUCAUGCCGCCGGCCAGUGGGGAUUAGAGAAUUCUGGGGUGGCGGAGUCUCAUUAGGGCUUCGCUCUGAGAAACAGG
rnacentral:lncRNA from 1 species